GACGAACGCUGGCGGCGUGCUUAACACAUGCAAGUCGAACGGAAAGGCCCUGCUUUUGUGGGGUGCUCGAGUGGCGAACGGGUGAGUAACACGUGAGUAACCUGCCCUUGACUUUGGGAUAACUUCAGGAAACUGGGGCUAAUACCGGAUAGGAGCUCCUGCUGCAUGGUGGGGGUUGGAAAGUUUCGGCGGUUGGGGAUGGACUCGCGGCUUAUCAGCUUGUUGGUGGGGUAGUGGCUUACCAAGGCUUUGACGGGUAGCCGGCCUGAGAGGGUGACCGGCCACAUUGGGACUGAGACACGGCCCAGACUCCUACGGGAGGCAGCAGUGGGGAAUAUUGCACAAUGGGCGGAAGCCUGAUGCAGCAACGCCGCGUGCGGGAUGACGGCCUUCGGGUUGUAAACCGCUUUCGCCUGUGACGAAGCGUGAGUGACGGUAAUGGGUAAAGAAGCACCGGCUAACUACGUGCCAGCAGCCGCGGUGAUACGUAGGGUGCGAGCGUUGUCCGGAUUUAUUGGGCGUAAAGGGCUCGUAGGUGGUUGAUCGCGUCGGAAGUGUAAUCUUGGGGCUUAACCCUGAGCGUGCUUUCGAUACGGGUUGACUUGAGGAAAGGUAGGGGAGAAUGGAAUUCCUGGUGGAGCGGUGGAAUGCGCAGAUAUCAGGAGGAACACCAGUGGCGAAGGCGGUUCUCUGGGCCUUUCCUGACGCUGAGGAGCGAAAGCGUGGGGAGCGAACAGGCUUAGAUACCCUGGUAGUCCACGCUGUAAACGGUGGGUACUAGGUGUGGGGUCCAUUCCACGGGUUCCGUGCCGUAGCUAACGCUUUAAGUACCCCGCCUGGGGAGUACGGCCGCAAGGCUAAAACUCAAAGGAAUUGACGGGGCCCCGCACAAGCGGCGGAGCAUGCGGAUUAAUUCGAUGCAACGCGUAGAACCUUACCUGGGUUUGACAUGGAUCGGGAGUGCUCAGAGAUGGGUGUGCCUCUUUUGGGGUCGGUUCACAGGUGGUGCAUGCCUGUCGUCAGCUCGUGUUGUGAGAUGUUGGGUUAAGUCCCGCAACGAGCGCAACCCUUGUUCACUGUUGCCAGCACGUUAUGGUGGGGACUCAGUGGAGACCGCCGGGGUCAACUCGGAGGAAGGUGGGGAUGACGUCAAGUCCUCAUGCCCCUUAUGUCCAGGGCUUCACGCAUGCUACAAUGGCUGGUACAGAGAGUGGCGAGCCUGUGAGGGUGAGCGAAUCUCGGAAAGCCGGUCUCAGUUCGGAUUGGGGUCUGCAACUCGACCUCAUGAAGUCGGAGUCGCUAGUAAUCGCAGAUCAGCAACGCUGCGGUGAAUAAGUUCCCGGG
rnacentral:rRNA from 1 species